rnacentral:rRNA from 1 species
AGAGUUUGAUCCUGGCUCAGGAUGAACGUUGGCGGUGUGCCUAAUACAUGCAAGUCGAACGGAGUUAAUAGCAAUAUUGACUUAGUGGCGAACGGGUGAGUAACGCGUUGGUGAUCUGCCUCGAAGUGUGGAAUAACGUUUCGAAAGGAAUGCUAAUACCGCAUGUGCUCUCGAUUUUUAGAAAGUUGAGAGUAAAGGAUUUAUUCGCUUCGAGAGGAGCCUGCGUCCCAUCAGCUGGUUGGUAGGGUAAUGGCCUACCAAGGCUAUGACGGGUAGGGGACCUGAGAGGGUGGCCCCCCACAAUGGAACUGAAACACGGUCCAUACACCUACGGGUGGCAGCAGUAGGGAAUAUUAGAAAUGGACGAAAGUCUGAUCUAGCAACACCGCGUGUGCGAAGAAGGCCUUCGGGUUGUAAAGCACUUUUUGGAAGGAAUAGGAAGGAAUGUACUUCCAGAAUAAGUCUCGGCUAACUACGUGCCAGCAGCCGCGGUAACACGUAGGAGGCGAACGUUAUCCGGAUUUACUGGGCGUAAAGCGCGUGUAGGUGGUUCUGUAAGUAGGGCGUGAAAGCUCCCGGCUCAACUGGGAGAGGCCGUUCUAAACUACAGAGCUAGAGGAUGGUAGAGGGAGGUGGAAUUCCAGGUGUAGCGGUGGAAUGCGCAGAUAUCUGGAGGAACACCAGUGGCGAAGGCGGGUUCCUGGCCCAUUACUGACGCUGAGGUGCGAAAGCCAGGGGAGCGAACGGGAUUAGAUACCCCGGUAGUCCUGGCCGUAAACGAUGGAUGCUAGGUGUGGGGGUGUAAGCCUCUGUGCCGCAGCUAACGCGAUAAGCAUCCCGCCUGGGGAGUACGAUCGCAAGAUUGAAACUCAAAGGAAAUUGACG